UACGUAGGGUCCGAGCGUUGUCCGGAAUUAUUGGGCGUAAAGAGCUCGUAGGCGGUUUGUCGCGUCUGCUGUGAAAUCCCGAGGCUCAACCUCGGGUCUGCAGUGGGUACGGGCAGACUGGAGUGCGGUAGGGGGAGAAUGGAAUUCCUGGUGUAGCGGUGGAAUGCGCAGAUAUCAGGAGGAACACCGAUGGCGAAGGCAGUUCUCUGGGCCGUAACUGACGCUGAGGAGCGAAAGCGUGGGGAGCGAACAGG
rnacentral:rRNA from 1 species